CUACGGGACGCUGCAGUGAGGAAUAUUGCACAAUGGGGGGAACCCUGAUGCAGCAACGCCGCGUGGAGGAUGACGCAUUUCGGUGUGUAAACUCCUUUUAUAUGUCAAGAAAAUGACGGUAGCAUAUGAAUAAGCACCGGCUAACUCCGUGCCAGCAGCCGCGGUAAUACGGAGGGCGCAAGCGUUACUCGGAAUCACUGGGCGUAAAGGACGCGUAGGCGGGUUGGAAAGUCAGGUGUGAAAUCCUACAGCUUAACUGUAGAACUGCACUUGAAACUUCUAAUCUAGAGUAUGGGAGGGGGAGAUGGAAUUAGUGGUGUAGGGGUAAAAUCCGUAGAUAUCGCUAGGAAUACCUAAAGCGAAGGCGAUCUCCUGGAACAUUACUGACGCUAAGGCGUGAAAGCGUGGGGAGCAAACAGGAUUAGAUACCCGUGUAGUC
rnacentral:rRNA from 1 species